rnacentral:rRNA from 1 species
AACGAACACUGGCGGCAGGCUUAAUACAUGCAAGUCGAGCGGGCCCUUCGGGGUCAGCGGCGCACGGGUGCGUAACGCGUGGGAAUAUGCCCUUCACUACGGAACAACCAAGGGAAACUUUGGCUAAUACCGUAUAAUGACUCCGGUCCAAAGAUUUAUCGGUGAAGGAUUAGCCCGCGUUAGAUUAGGUAGUUGGUGGG